rnacentral:lncRNA from 1 species
CCAGGCACUCUGUGGGCCUCAUGCCGCCUGUGCUGGCCGGAGCCAGCGUGGCGAUCAGACGUCUGGGUGUGCCCGGCACGACCCCACCUCGCCGCUCCCCUGAGCUGUCCUUCCCCUGCAGAGGGGCCAAGAAGCACCCCUGGGAGGCCAUUAGUGUCAGCAAGAAAGGUGCGAAAACUGCGUUUUCUUCUUGAGUUCCGUGUUUCAGGGAGAGAAUCGUGAAGAAACAGACUAAAGGACUUUGUUGCAAGCUACAGUCAUGAAGAAGGACACGUGGGCUCUGCACCAGUCCCCGGCGCUGCCUGCGGCAUCUGAUUCUGCCGGCGCUGCCCGCUUAGCUUAUGGGUAUGCAGAAGAUCUGCAUCAUGGUUCCUGCUGAAGAAGGGAGUGUGUGGCUGUGUGUGUGUGGCUGUGUGUGUGUGCGUGUGCACAGGCAUGCACACACCUGUGUUUACAUGAACACAUAUGAAUACAGUGUAUGUGUACACACACAAACACGUGUGUGCAUGUGAGGUACAUGCAUGUGCACAUUUGCUUACAUGUACGUGUGUGUGUGCACGUGCAUACACAUGUGCGAUUGGCAAGUGUGUGCAUGCAUAUGUAUAUGGGCACAUAUAUGUACAGGCAUGUAUGCACGUUUGUGUGUUUGGUGUGUCUAUAUAUGUACGUGUAUAUGGCCACACACGGAUACAGGUAUGUAUACACCUGUGCAUGCACGCUUGCCCAGACACACAACUGCACACCUCCCUGCCCUGCACCCUGCCUUUGGGCUCUCCAUCGUUGCUGCUGGCUGAUAGGUCUUGAAAGGCCCAGGCUGGUGAGUAAG